rnacentral:rRNA from 1 species
GGCAUGCGGCGGCUAAUACAUGCAAGUCGAGCGAAUGGAUUAAGAGCUUGCUCUUAUGAAGUUAGCGGCGGACGGGUGAGUAACACGUGGGUAACCUGCCCAUAAGACUGGGAUAACUCCGGGAAACCGGGGCUAAUACCGGAUAACAUUUUGAACCGCAUGGUUCGAAAUUGAAAGGCGGCUUCGGCUGUCACUUAUGGAUGGACCCGCGUCGCAUUAGCUAGUUGGUGAGGUAACGGCUCACCAAGGCAACGAUGCGUAGCCGACCUGAGAGGGUGAUCGGCCACACUGGGACUGAGACACGGCCCAGACUCCUACGGGAGGCAGCAGUAGGGAAUCUUCCGCAAUGGACGAAAGUCUGACGGAGCAACGCCGCGUGAGUGAUGAAGGCUUUCGGGUCGUAAAACUCUGUUGUUAGGGAAGAACAAGUGCUAGUUGAAUAAGCUGGCACCUUGACGGUACCUAACCAGAAAGCCACGGCUAACUACGUGCCAGCAGCCGCGGUAAUACGUAGGUGGCAAGCGUUAUCCGGAAUUAUUGGGCGUAAAGCGCGCGCAGGUGGUUUCUUAAGUCUGAUGUGAAAGCCCACGGCUCAACCGUGGAGGGUCAUUGGAAACUGGGAGACUUGAGUGCAGAAGAGGAAAGUGGAAUUCCAUGUGUAGCGGUGAAAUGCGUAGAGAUAUGGAGGAACACCAGUGGCGAAGGCGACUUUCUGGUCUGUAACUGACACUGAG